rnacentral:rRNA from 1 species
UGGAAGUAAAAGUCGUAACAAGGUCUCCGUUGGUGAACCAGCGGAGGGAUCAUUACCGAGUUUACAACUCCCAAACCCAAUGUGAACCAUACCAAACUGUUGCCUCGGCGGGGUCACGCCCCGGGUGCGUCGCAGCCCCGGAACCAGGCGCCCGCCGGAGGGACCAACCAAACUCUUUCUGUAGUCCCCUCGCGGACGUUAUUUCUUACAGCUCUGAGCAAAAAUUCAAAAUGAAUCAAAACUUUCAACAACGGAUCUCUUGGUUCUGGCAUCGAUGAAGAACGCAGCGAAAUGCGAUAAGUAAUGUGAAUUGCAGAAUUCAGUGAAUCAUCGAAUCUUUGAACGCACAUUGCGCCCGCCAGUAUUCUGGCGGGCAUGCCUGUCCGAGCGUCAUUUCAACCCUCGAACCCCUCCGGGGGUCCGGCGUUGGGGAUCGGGAACCCCUAAGACGGGAUCCCGGCCCCGAAAUACAGUGGCGGUCUCGCCGCAGCCUCUCAUGCGCAGUAGUUUGCACAACUCGCACCGGGAGCGCGGCGCGUCCACGUCCGUAAAACACCCAACUUCUGAAAUGUUGACCUCGGAUCAGGUAGGAAUACCCGCUGACUUAAGCAUAUCAAUAGCGCGGAGGA